rnacentral:rRNA from 1 species
AUGCUGCUAAUCAAGAUCAACAGUGCUGUCGAGGUGUCCGAGAAGCGCGCCAUCAAGAGCUCGUCGUUGCUGCAGUGGCGCGACAAGCUAAAGGAAGCAGCCUUGCAAGGCGUUGAGGUACUUGACAGCUUUACACAGAAGGUCAAGGAUGCCGAACAGACUGGCCACGCCAAUGGUGACAAUAAGCAAGGUGAAGCAGCUUCUUCUUCUACUGCCGCCCCCACUGCAGAUAUAGGUCCUCUGUCCUGCACGAGGAAUUCUCUGUCCACCAUGGUGCAGGGCAUCUGCAGCGCUAGAAAAAUUCUGUUCUGGAGCGUCGAUGACGACAUGGAAAGGUUGAACAAGGCAUUGGGAAGGUUAGAGAAGCUCUCGCCGGACAUCCGAGAGUUCAUAAUGCUGCUUCGCCUUCAGCGCUCACCCCUCAGAUCACGUUGCGAUGCUGAAGAGGAUGAGCCACCGAUGAAGUUGAGGAAAACAAGAGGAGAGGGACGCAUGGCCAUGCUUCGUCGUCCUAGUAGUAACUCAAUGUUGUCUUUUCUUUAUUCUGGAGCACGUCUAAAGUUGGAAAAGACAGAAGAAAUGCCAUCUACGAUCAAGAAAUGCCUCAUGGAGGAAACACUUUUGUCCAGCAUAGUAUGCGGUUCGACAGUUUUCUCGAAGGAACAACAGUUUAAGCUCCUGCAGGAUAGGCUCGAGGCAGCAUUCGGUGAGAUCUGCAAGGCCGUCGAUCUGGUCGAUAGACAUGACUUAGAAGACCUGGAGUGGCUAGCAUAUUGGGCAGGCAUCCUCAGAGAGGCGAAGGAACAAGGCCGUGAUGUCCUCAGCUCCACCGGCGCACACAAAACCAUCAACGCGGAAGACAAGGAGGAGACGUCGGUGGAAUGUGAUCAAGAGGAAAACGAACUCGGCUCUUUCGUUCAUAGACUGGAAGGCUUAUCUAGGGAUGUAGAAUACUUCAGCAAAUUGGUAUACCUUUGUCCAAUGAGGUAG